CCUACGGGAGGCAGCAGUGAGGAAUAUUGGUCAAUGGCCGGAAGGCUGAACCAGCCAAGCCGCGUGAAGGACGAAGGUGCCAAGCAUUGUAAACUUCUUUUGUCAAGGGACAAAAUCAGGCUCGAGAGCCUGACCGAGGGUACUUGAAAAAAAAGCAUCGGCUAACUCCGUGCCAGCAGCCGCGGUAAUACGGAGGAUGCGAGCGUUAUCCGGAUUUAUUGGGUUUAAAGGGUGCGUAGGCGGGCUGUUAAGUCAGCGGUAAAAGUCCGGGGCUCAACCCCGGCGAGCCGUUGAUACUGGCUGUCUUGAGAUGUCGAGAGGUAUGCGGAAUGCGCAGUGUAGCGGUGAAAUGCUUAGAUAUUGCGAAGAACUCCGAUUGCGAAGGCAGCAUACCGGCGGCGAUCUGACGCUGAGGCACGAAAGCGUGGGUAUCGAACAGGAUUAGAUACCCUUGUAGUC
rnacentral:rRNA from 1 species